GGCUAUAGUACAAGUAACAGAGAAGCCAGAUUGCAGAUCGUGGAGAAACGUUGCCGAGACAGAUUGUCAGGGAAAUGGCUGCCUUCCAGUAAUUCUUUACAGAAUAUGGGGAAAGGGAACAAGUAUUCAUUUUGACAAUUAUCAGACAGCUGAUUUGAGAGAGGAAUUUAGCUCUUUUUCAGAAUGGGGGAGUGCCAUGACAUUUGGAAGGUGAUAUAAAAAGAUGACAAAGCAUAAAUUUCUAAAUAAAGCAUGAAGAGGACAUUUUGCAAACCAUGAUACAUGGAGCAAAAGAGGCCAAUGCCACCUCAGAAGACUAUCUGGAGUCAUAGCUGCUCAGGGGAACAGAAAGAAUUGUGAAGGAACUGGGGCCUCUGAGCACAUUCCCAGCUCAGAUCAGGAAUUUUGUAUCUGUACCAGAAUUCUGACCAGAGCUCCUACACAGAAAAAUCUACUCCUUGUCUAUCCCAAGUUUUAUUUGUUUCAGUAGGCAACUACAGAAACAGAGAGGGAAACCCUUUUAAAAAUGUUUAUUUAUUGAACUUAUAUACUGCCCUAUACCCACAGGUCUCAGGGUGGGUACCUUUUAGUACCUUUAAUUUUAGGUUGUUGUUUUUUAUUAACAGUACAUGUGUGCCACGUAGAACUUAGUUUCUUGGGAGGCUUAUUUAUGUGAAAGGGGAUUACAGAGAAAUGAAUGUACAUGUUUCACCCUUUCUGAUGUUUAUUAUGUUGCUGCCCCUUUAAGUAAAAGUAAACAAACAAGUUGAAGUCUGGGAAAGUGAGGGGAAAGAGGUAGACCCCCAAGGGCAGUUGAGUGAAAGUUUUGUCAUGGUCCUACUCUGUUUAGGCCCCUGUAGAAAUGUUGAAGUGGCUCUGGAUCAAUAAAAGUUUUUUUCUGUUUGCAUCUCUCUGGGCUGGACUGUAACAUUUAGCAACCUGGGAGGAUUUGACUGAAAGGGUCUCACCCUGUGAAGGGCAAACCUACAGAGCUGUGGAAGGAACAGCUUUGCUUCCACAAUUCCCAGCCAAAUAACUGAAUGGAUCAGAAGCAUUAUGGCUACUAGAGAUGGGCAUAUUCUUUCCAUUUUAAUUCACAAACAGAUAUACUCCUGCAUACCUAGGGGGUCUUGUGACUGUGGAAAAUCAUGGCCAUACUUUGGAUGACUCCAUCUGAGUUCCAAACCAAAAGGCAAGGUGCUUGCUUGUUUUUAAGGCAAUGUUUCCCACACUUAGGUUGCCUGCCAUUUCAUGAAUUUUCCCCUCUCAAAUUUUGAGCAAUUUCAUUCUAAGCAACGUGCUUCUUCCCCCUGCCCCUCCCAGCAAUGCAUCUGGAGAUUCCCUCCCACCGCAUAGUAACACAUCUUGAAGCGACACUGUACCUCUCCCCCAUCCACAGCACAUGGUCAAGAUAUUCUGCUUCUAGCAAUGAAACCAGGUGAAUGCUAAGUCAAUGCUAUUGCUUACUUUUUAUUUGAAAAGGCUGAGACGCAAGCUGAAAUGUUGAAGAAGCAUAUUAAAUCAGGAAAACAGGCAUGAAAAACAGAUGGUCAGAGGGACAGCCUAACUAGCGGAACAAUCCCCCCCCCCCCAAGUCAGCAAAACCUGUUACGGUGCUUGCCGUACUGUACGAGGCCAAAAAAUAAAAUAAAAUAAAUUUGGCUCUGGAAAACAAAUGUAAAAUGGAGCAUACUAAUAACAGAAUGCAACGGAACUGUCUCUGGAAACUAGUAUAGUUUAUUUGUCUUUCCUUCAAUUUGUACUUUUAUAAAAUGGAUUUGGAGUUGUGGGAGCCUUGUGGUUGAUAACUCUGCAGGGAAUUAAAAUCACAGCUGACAUAGGAGCUACUAAACCUGCGGUGAAGAAGACUCCCUGGAGAAGACCCUGAUGUUGGGAAAGAUUGAGGGCACA